rnacentral:rRNA from 1 species
GUGCCAGCAGCCGCGGUAAUACGUAGGGGGCAAGCGUUGUCCGGAAUUAUUGGGCGUAAAGCGCGCGCAGGCGGUUCCUUAAGUCUGAUGUGAAAGCCCACGGCUCAACCGUGGAGGGUCAUUGGAAACUGGGGAACUUGAGGACAGAAGAGGAGAGUGGAAUUCCACGUGUAGCGGUGAAAUGCGUAGAUAUGUGGAGGAACACCAGUGGCGAAGGCGACUCUCUGGUCUGUUUCUGACGCUGAGGUGCGAAAGCGUGGGUAGCAAACAGGAUUAGAUACCCUGGUAGUCCACGCCGUAAACGAUGAGUGCUAGGUGUUAGGGGGCUUCCACCCCUUAGUGCUGAAGUUAACGCAUUAAGCACUCCGCCUGGGGAGUACGGCCGCAAGGCUGAAACUUAAAUGAAUUGGCGGGG